rnacentral:lncRNA from 1 species
CUGGCUCAUCGAUAUAUAAAUCCAAAACACUGCAUGAUUUCUUAUUGUUGUGAUAUCUAUACUUGUGAGAAAAAAGAAACUAUCUUUUGAAAAGUUUAGUUUGUGAAAUGUAAAAACACUCUCAACUUACGUUAUGGAUAAUAUCCCUCUUUUUACUUUUGUUCAUAUUUGAAAUUAUGAUGGUCAUUUGCUUCUAUUUGGUUGUAGAUACCUGUAUUGAUUGAUAGUUUGUAGUAAGAAAAUAAUAUAAACGUUAUUUAAAAUGUUCUAAUUUUCAGCUUGCUGGAGUUGUCGCUGUUGAGGUCACUGGGGGUCCAACAAUUGAAUUUGUUCCAGGAAGAAAGGUGGGCUAUCUUCUAGGAUUUUAUUUCCAUCAUAUAAACCGAUGGUACAAUGUUUUAUAUCCUUUACAGUGAUAAUUAUUCAAUUAUAGCUAAUUGGGGCCCUUUUGUUUUCCUAUCAGGAUUCUUUAGUUUCACCUAGGGAGGGAAAUCUUCCUGAUGCUAAACAAGGUAUGUGGAAUUGUGUAUUGUAUUUUGGUGUAAUUGAUUAAUGGUAGUUGUUAUGAUUUUUGUUAUAACCACAAAUCUUUCAUAAAUCAUAACUUAUGUUUAGCCUGAAUACUUAUUUUUAUCAUGUGAUCCUAUUGUAAAUGCACUUUUCUACAUCAGUGUGAACUGUGAAAACUUGCUUGCUGCUGUAUUUACUUUCAGACACUCCCUUUAUUGUUUUUUAACAUUAUAUUUCUUAAAAUUUUUUACAACAUUUCCCUAAGCAUGUCUAAACCUUAUUAUUGUAUAGGUUAAUUAAUAAAUGUAUUAUUAUUAUAGGCACUGAACAUCUGAGAGAAAUAUUUUACCGAAUGGGUCUGUCAGACAAGGAUAUUGUUGCAUUAUCCGGUGCCCACACUUUGGUAGUUGUUUCAAAGAAUUUUUUUCAUGGAUUUCUAGAUUCAAACUGGUAUUUUAACUUUUAAUCAAUAUUGUUGCAUUUUUUCCCGACACAUUUUUGUAUGUAAAGGGGAGAGCGCAUCAGGAAAGGUCUGGUUUCGAAGGUCCUUGGACAAAGGAACCUCUGAAGUUUGACAAUACAUACUUUGUGUAAGAUCAAUACAAAACUCUGAUAAUUGUUUAAUAUGUUUAAACUUCAGACAGAGGAUUUGACUUAAAAUGCCCAAUUGGGGUUCCUUACUACAAAAUGGUCAUUAUUUCUUCUCAUAGGGAACUGCUGGAAGGAGAAAAGAAAGGACUUUUAAAGCUACCAACGGACAAUACUUUACUGCAUGAUCCUGCAUUCCGUGGUUAUGUUGAACUGUAUGCAAAGGUACUUGAAUAAAAUAGCUUAUGUUUUUGGAAAUUAAAAACUAAACAUAUUUGUGGUUUAACACAACACAGGAUGAAGAUGCAUUUUUUAGGGAUUAUACCGUAUCCCAUAAGAAGCUCUCUGAACUUGGCUGCUUUGCUCCGACAUCCAACAAAGCAGAUUCAAAUGGUUUUUUGGUUCAUAGUGCUUUUGGAGUUGCC